UACAGAGGGUGCAAGCGUUAAUCGGAAUUACUGGGCGUAAAGCGUGCGUAGACGGUUGCGUAAGUCAGAUGUGAAAGCCCCGGGCUCAACCUGGGAAUUGCAUUUGAGACUGCGUAGCUAGGGUGCGGAAGAGGGAAGCGGAAUUUCCGGUGUAGCGGUGAAAUGCGUAGAUAUCGGAAGGAACACCAGUGGCGAAAGCGGCUUCCUGGUCCAGCACCGACGUUGAGGCACGAAAGCGUGGGGAGCAAACAGG
rnacentral:rRNA from 1 species